GUUGCCUCAGUACGGCGAGUGAAGCGGCAACAGCUCAAAUUUGAAAUCUGGCCGCAAGGUCCGAGUUGUAAUUUGCAGAGGAUGCUUUUGGCGAGGUGCCUUCCGAGUUCCCUGGAACGGGACGCCAUAGAGGGUGAGAGCCCCGUACGGUUGGACCACCGAGCCUCUGUAAAGCUCCUUCGACGAGUCGAGUAGUUUGGGAAUGCUGCUCUAAAUGGGAGGUGUACGUCUUCUAAAGCUAAAUACCGGCCAGAGACCGAUAGCGCACAAGUAGAGUGAUCGAAAGAUGAAAAGCACUUUGAAAAGAGGGUUAAAAAGUACGUGAAAUUGUUGAAAGGGAAGCGUUUAUGACCAGACUUGGGCUUGGUUGAACAUCCGGCGUUCUCGCCGGUGCACUCUGCCAGUCCAGGCCAGCAUCAGUUUGUCCCGGGGGAUAAAGGCGGUGGGAAUGUGGCUCCCCCGGGAGUGUUAUAGCCCGCCGUGCAAUGCCCUGGGACGGACUGAGGAACGCGCUUCGGCACGGAUGCUGGCGUAAUGGUCAUCAACGACCCGUCUUGACCACGGACCA
rnacentral:rRNA from 1 species